CACGGGGGGAGCAAGCGUUGUUCGGAAUUACUGGGCGUAAAGGGCGUGUAGGCGGUCAAGUAAGUGGGGUGUGAAACCCCUCGGCUCACCCGAGGAUCUGCAUCCCAAACUGCUUGGCUUGAGUAUGGGAGAGGAUGAGGGAAUUCCUGGUGUAGCGGUGAAAUGCGUAGAUAUCAGGAGGAACACCGGUGGCGAAGGCGGGAUCUGGGCCAGUACUGACGCUGAGGAGCGAAAAGCGUGGGGGAGCAAAACAGGAUUAGAAAACCC
rnacentral:rRNA from 1 species